rnacentral:rRNA from 1 species
GGAUUAGAUACCCUGGUAGUCCACGCUGUAAACGGUGGGUACUAGGUGUGGGGUCCAUUCCACGGGUUCCGUGCCGUAGCUAACGCUUUAAGUACCCCGCCUGGGGAGUACGGCCGCAAGGCUAAAACUCAAAGGAAUUGACGGGGCCCCGCACAAGCGGCGGAGCAUGCGGAUUAAUUCGAUGCAACGCGUAGAACCUUACCAGCCCUUGACAUCGGGAUCGCGCAGACCGGAGAUGGACUGCUUCAGUUCGGCUGGAUCCAUGACAGGUGUUGCAUAGCUGUCGUCAGCUCGUGUCG